UACGAAGGGUGCAAGCGUUACUCGGAAUUACUGGGCGUAAAGCGUGCGUAGGUGGUGAGUUAAGUCUGUCGUGAAAGCCCCGGGCUCAACCUGGGAAUUGCAUUCGAGACUGCAUUGCUGGAGUACGGAAGAGGAAGGCGGAAUUCCCGGUGUAGCGGUGAAAUGCGUAGAUAUCGGGAGGAACAUCAGUGGCGAAGGCGGCCUUCUGGUCCAGUACUGACACUCAAGUGCGAAAGCGUGGGGAGCAAACAGG
rnacentral:rRNA from 1 species